UACUAUGGCCACGGCACCCUGAACGUGUCCGAUCCCGUCUGAUCUCGGAAGCUAAGCAGGGUCAGGCCUUGGAUGGGAGACCACCUAGGAAAACCAGGUGCUGUAGGCG
rnacentral:rRNA from 1 species